GGAAUUGAUGGGGCCCGCACAAGCGGAGGAACAUGUGGUUAAUUCGAUGAUACGCGAGGAACCUUACCUGGGCUUAAAUGUAGAGUGCAUUUUUUAGAGAUAGAAAUUCCCUUCGGGGCUUUCUGCAAGGUGCUGCAUGGUUGUCGUCAGCUCGUGCCGUGAGGUGUCGGGUUAAGUCCCAUAACGAGCGCAACCCUUAUCGUUAGUUGCCAUCUGGUAAUGCAGGGGACUCUAGCGAAACUGCCACCGUAAGGUGAGAGGAAGGUGGGGAUGACGUCAAAUCAGCACGGCCCUUAUGUCCAGGGCUACACACGUGUUACAAUGGUCGGUACAGAGGGCAGCUACCUGGUGACAGGAUGCUAAUCUCGAAAACCGGUCUCAGUUCGGAUCGAAGUCUGCAACUCGACUUCGUGAAGCUGGAUUCGCUAGUAAUCGCGCAUCAGCCAUGGCGCGGUGAAUACGUUCCCGGGCCUU
rnacentral:rRNA from 1 species